UCCACCAGUGGCGGACGGGUGAGUAAUGAAUCGCUAAUGUACCCCAGUAGUCUGGGAUAGCUGCCCGAAAGGGCAGGUAAUACCAGAUGAUAUAUCCGGUUGGCAUCAGCUGGAUCUCAAAGGAGCAAUACGCUCUGGGAGCAGGCGAUUUCGUAUCAGCUUGUUGGUGAGGUAACGGCUCACCAAGGCGACGACGCGUAGCUGGUCUGAGAGGACGGCCAGCCACAUUGGGACUGAGACACUGCCCAGACUCCUACGGGGGGCUGCAGUAACGAAUCUUCCGCAAUGCACGCAAGUGUGACGGAGCGACGCCGCGUGUGGGACGAAGUCCUUCGGGAUGUAAACCACUGUCAGGGGUUAGAAAGUUCUGAUCAACCCCAGAGGAAGGCACGGCUAACUCUGUGCCAGCAGCCGCGGUAAGACAGAGGUGCCAAGCGUUAGGCGGAAUCACUGGGCUUAAAGCGUGUGUAGGCGGAAUUGUAAGUACCUUGUGAAAUCCCACGGCUCAACCGUGGAACUGCUCGGUAUACUGCUUUUCUUGAGCCACUUAGGGGCUGUCGGAACAAACGGUGGAGCGGUGAAAUGCGUAGAUAUCGUUUGGAACGCCAAUGGUGAAAACAGACAGCUGGGAGUGUGCUGACGCUGAGACACGAAAGCCAGGGGAGCGAACGGGAUUAGAUACCCCGGUAGUCCUGGCCCUAAACGAUGUCGACUAGAUCGUAGUGCCUCUGACGGUAUUACGGUCGAAGCAAAAGUGCUAAGUCGACCGCCUGGGAAGUACGGUCGCAAGGCUAAAACUCAAAGGAAUUGACGGGGGCUCACACAAGCGGUGGAGCAUGUGGUUUAAUUCGAAGCAACGCGCAGAACCUUACCUGGGCUUGACAUGCUAGGAUUAUCCCUAUGAAAGUAGGGUAGGCCCUUCGGGGUACAACUAGUACAGGUGCUGCAUGGCUGUCGUCAGCUCGUGUCGUGAGAUGUCGGGUUAAGUCCCUUAACGAGCGAAACCUUUGCCCUUAGUUACCAGCGGGUUAUGCCGGGGACUCUAAGGGGACUGCCGGUGUCAAACCGGAGGAAGGUGGAGAUGACGUCAAGUCCUCAUGGCCUUUAUGCCCAGGGCCACACACGUGCUACAAUGCGGCGCACAAAGCGAACCUAAAGCGCGAGCUCAUGGAAAUCGCAGAAAUCGCCGCCCAGUUCAGAU
rnacentral:rRNA from 1 species